GGACAAUGGGCGCAAGCCUGAUCCAGCAAUGCCGCGUGUGUGAAGAAGGUUUUCGGAUUGUAAAGCACUUUCAGCGGGGACGAUGAUGACGGUACCCGCAGAAGAAGCCCCGGCUAACUUCGUGCCAGCAGCCGCGGUAAUACGAAGGGGGCAAGCGUUGCUCGGAAUGACUGGGCGUAAAGGGCGCGUAGGCGGUUGACACAGUCAGAUGUGAAAUUCCCGGGCUUAACCUGGGGGCUGCAUUUGAUACGUGGCGACUAGAGUGUGAGAGAGGGUUGUGGAAUUCCCAGUGUAGAGGUGAAAUUCGUAGAUAUUGGGAAGAACACCGGUGGCGAAGGCGGCAACCUGGC
rnacentral:rRNA from 1 species